UACGUAGGGUGCAAGCGUUAAUCGGAAUUACUGGGCGUAAAGCGUGCGCAGGCGGUUUUGUAAGUCUGUCGUGAAAUCCCCGGGCUUAACCUGGGAAUUGCGAUGGAGACUGCAAGGCUAGAAUCUGGCAGAGGGGGGGUAGAAUUCCACGUGUAGCAGUGAAAUGCGUAGAGAUGUGGAGGAAUACCGAUGGCGAAGGCAGCCCCCUGGGCCCAAUACUGACGCUCAUGCACGAAAGCGUGGGGAGCAAACAGG
rnacentral:rRNA from 1 species